CAGUAGCCGCGGGAAUACGGAGGGUGCAAGCGUUAAUCGGAAUUACUGGGCGUAAAGCGCACGCAGGCGGUCUGACAAGUCAGAUGUGAAGUCCCCGGGCUUAACCUGGGAACUGCAUUUGAAACUGUCAGGCUGGAGUCUUGUAGAGGGGGGUGGAAUUCCAGGUGUAGCGGUGAAAUGCGUAGAGAUCUGGAGGAAUACCGGUGGCGAAGGCGGCCCCCUGGACAAAGACUGACGCUCAGGUGCGAAAGCGUGGGGAGCAAACAGGAUUAGAUACCCCAGUAGUCCCUGUCUCUUAUAC
rnacentral:rRNA from 1 species